AUAUACGGCCAUAGAUCAAGGAAAACAUCGGAUCCCGUCCGCUCUCCUAUAAUUAAGCUUUGAAUCGGCGGAUUAGUAGUUGGGUGGGUGACCACUAGCGAAUACCUGCUGCUGUAUGUU
rfam:Coniosporium apollinis CBS 100218 chromosome Tnknown supercont1.30, whole genome shotgun sequence.